rnacentral:rRNA from 1 species
UCGAGGAUCUUUCGCAAUGGGCGCAAGCCUGACGAAGCGACACUGUGUGAGCGAUGAAGGCCUUAGGGUUGUAAAGCUCUUUCGCCUGGGAACAAGAGCGACAUGUGAACAACAUGUCAAUUUGAGUGUACCAGGUAAAGAAGCACCGGCUAACUCCGUGCCAGCAGCUGCGGUAAUACGGAGGGUGCAAGCAUUAAUCGGAAUUAUUGGGCGUAAAGGGCGCGUAGGCGGAUGUGAAAGUCAGAUGUGAAAUUCCGGAGCUCAACUCCGGCGCUGCAUUUGAAACUCCACGUCUAGAGGAUUGGCGGAGAAAACGGAAUUCCACGUGUAGCGGUGAAAUGCGUAGAUAUGUGGAAGAACACCAGUGGCGAAAGCGGUUUUCUAGCUUUUUUCCUGACGCUGAGGCGCGAGAGCAAGGGGAGCAAACAGG